rnacentral:lncRNA from 1 species
AAGACACAAAACCCGCACUAUGGAAGCUUAACAAAAGAAACUCUGAAGGACAGCGUCUCCAAGUUUUUCCAUAAUGGAUCCAGCUUAAGAAAAGCUGCAAUUGCCUCCGGGAUUCCAAAGAUUGAGAAGAUUCUCCAGUGGUUUGCAAAUCAGAAGCACCCUAACGUUGAGGUUAAGUUCAUUAGUGUUUCUGAAAGUCCAUCUCAGCCAACUACUAAAAAGUCAAAGUGAUAUGCCAGGUGGUGGUGGCCCGAGGCCAGCCUGGGCUACGUAGGGAGUUCCAGGACAGCCAGGGGUUCACAGAAAAACCCUUUCUUGAAAAAAACCAAACACCCCCCGACACCCCCCC